CACACAAAUACACACUGCAUUAUAUACACAUUGUGUUUGUAUAGUGUGUAUAUAAUGCAGUGUGUGUUUGUGUG